UACGUAGGGUGCGAGCGUUAUUCGGAAUUACUGGGCGUAAAGCGCGCGCAGGCGGUUUUGUAAGUCAGAUGUGAAAUCCCCGGGCUCAGCCUGGGAACUGCGUUUGAAACUACAAGACUAGAAUAUGUCAGAGGGGGGUAGAAUUCCACGUGUAGCAGUGGAAUGCGUAGAGAUGUGGAGGAAUACCGAUGGCGAAGGCAGCCCCCUGGGAUAAUAUUGACGCUCAUGCACGAAAGCGUGGGGAGCAAACAGG
rnacentral:rRNA from 1 species